rnacentral:snoRNA from 1 species
CUCGAAGGAUUAGACUUAACUAUUCAGUUCUGCUUCCGAAAAGAGACUUCGCAAUCUCUUGUGGACAACUUAUACCAUACCAAAACCUUAUAUGACAC